rnacentral:rRNA from 1 species
CAGUCGAGGGGCAGCAUAAUGGAUAGCAAUAUCUAUGGUGGCGACCGGCGCACGGGUGCGUAACGCGUAUGCAACCUACCUUUGACAGGGGGAUAACACUGAGAAAUUGGUACUAAUACCCCAUAAUAUCAUAGAAGGCAUCUUUUAUGGUUGAAAAUUCCGAUGGUUAGAGAUGGGCAUGCGUUGUAUUAGCUAGUUGGUGGGGUAACGGCUCACCAAGGCGACGAUACAUAGGGGGACUGAGAGGUUAACCCCCCACACUGGUACUGAGACACGGACCAGACUCCUACGGGAGGCAGCAGUGAGGAAUAUUGGUCAAUGGACGCAAGUCUGAACCAGCCAUGCCGCGUGCAGGAUGACGGCUCUAUGAGUUGUAAACUGCUUUUGUACGAGGGUAAACGCAGAUACGUGUAUCUGUCUGAAAGUAUCGUACGAAUAAGGAUCGGCUAACUCCGUGCCAGCAGCCGCGGUAAUACGGAGGAUUCAAGCGUUAUCCGGAUUUAUUGGGUUUAAAGGGUGCGUAGGCGGUUUGAUAAGUUAGAGGUGAAAUUUCGGGGCUCAACCCUGAACGUGCCUCUAAUACUGUUGAGCUAGAGAGUAGUUGCGGUAGGCGGAAUGUAUGGUGUAGCGGUGAAAUGCUUAGAGAUCAUACAGAACACCGAUUGCGAAGGCAGCUUACCAAACUAUAUCUGACGUUGAGGCACGAAAGCGUGGGGAGCAAACAGGAUUAGAUACCCUGGUAGUCCACGCAGUAAACGAUGAUAACUCGUUGUCGGCGAUACACAGUCGGUGACUAAGC